rnacentral:rRNA from 1 species
UGGGCGUUAAGUUGCAGGGUAUAGACCCGAAACCCGGUGAUCUAGCCAUGGGCAGGUUGAAGGUUGGGUAACACUAACUGGAGGACCGAACCGACUAAUGUUGAAAAAUUAGCGGAUGACCUGUGGCUGGGGGUGAAAGGCCAAUCAAACCGGGAGAUAGCUGGUUCUCCCCGAAAGCUAUUUAGGUAGCGCCUCGUGAAUUCAUCUCCGGGGGUAGAGCACUGUUUCGGCUAGGGGGCCAUCCCGGCUUACCAACCCGAUGCAAACUGCGAAUACCGGAGAAUGUUAUCACGGGAGACACACGGCGGGUGCUAACGUCCGUCGUGAAGAGGGAAACAACCCAGACCGCCAGCUAAGGUCCCAAAGUCAUGGUUAAGUGGGAAACGAUGUGGGAAGGCCCAGACAGCCAGGAUGUUGGCUUAGAAGCAGCCAUCAUUUAAAGAAAGCGUAAUAGCUCACUGGUCGAGUCGGCCUGCGCGGAAGAUGUAACGGGGCUAAACCAUGCACCGAAGCUGCGGCAGCGACGCUGAUGCGUUGUUGGGUAGGGGAGCGUUCUGUAAGCCUGUGAAGGUGGCCUGUGAGGGUUGCUGGAGGUAUCAGAAGUGCGAAUGCUGACAUAAGUAACGAUAAAGCGGGUGAAAAGCCCGCUCGCCGGAAGACCAAGGGUUCCUGUCCAACGUUAAUCGGGGCAGGGUGAGUCGACCCCUAAGGCGAGGCCGAAAGGCGUAGUCGAUGGGAAACGGGUUAAUAUUCCCGUACUUGGUGUUACUGCGAAGGGGGGACGGAGAAGGCUAUGUUGGCCGGGCGACGGUUGUCCCGGUUUAAGCGUGUAGGUGUGUGUUCCAGGUAAAUCCGGUUCACUUUAACACUGAGGCGUGAUGACGAGGCACUACGGUGCUGAAGCAACAAAUGCCCUGCUUCCAGGAAAAGCCUCUAAGCAUCAGGUAACAUCAAAUCGUACCCCAAACCGACACAGGUGGUCAGGUAGAGAAUACCAAGGCGCUUGAGAGAACUCGGGUGAAGGAACUAGGCAAAAUGGUGCCGUAACUUCGGGAGAAGGCACGCUGACACGUAGGUGAAGUGAUUUACUCA